AUUUUCGGCAAUGGGGGCAACCCUGACCGCGCGACGCCGCGUGAGUGAAGAAGGUCUUCUGAUCGUAAAUCAUUGUUGUAGGGGAAGAACCGUACCAGUAGGGAAUGACUGGUACCUGACGGCACCUUACCAGCAAGCCACGGCUAACUACUUGCCAGCAGCCGCGGUAAUACGUAGGUGGCAAGCGUUAUCCGGAAUUAUUGGGCGUAAAGGGAGCGCAGGCGGCUUAUUAAGUCUGAGGUUAAAGUUCGGGGCUCAACCCCGUGAUGCCUUAGAAACUGGUAGGCUAGAGUGCAGGAGAGGUGAGUGGAAUUCCAUGUGUAGCGGUAAAAUGCGUAGAUAUAUGGAGGAACACCAGUGGCGAAGGCGGCUCACUGGCCUGUAACUGACGCUGAGGCUCGAAAGCGUGGGGAGCAAAU
rnacentral:rRNA from 1 species